AGAAGUGCUAGGCACAACCAAUGCCUCCAGCGCACGGUACCACCCGAGGGAAAAAAAGCACCGCACUGCGCGUGGGAGCGAGGGCGCACCGCACCACACGAGCGAAAAAAACACCGCACCGCGCGAGGGACGAAAACGACAUCGAACCCUAGCCCCAAUCCACAGCCUCACGCCCCUCACUCCUCCCUCCCUCAUCCGCCGCCGCUCCCUCCCACCUCCUCCUCCUCCUCCUUCUGCGCCAUAGGAGCCCCGCCGCCGCUUGCUACUCCUCCACCGCCUCGCCUCUUCCUCCUCCCCGCCUUCCCAUCGCUCGUGUGCAGGCCAUCGUGGACACACACUUCGCGGGCGAACCCGAUCUCCAACGCCUGCUCCGGGUUCGCGCUGGACGGGCUCCCCUGCAUCCUCCUCCUCGCGGCCGAGGACGACGCCUCCGGAGUGAGCUGCGGCGCUCGAUUCGAUCUGCGGGAGAGAGAGAAGAUGAGAGGGAGAAGGUGGAAGGAGAGGAGGGAGAGAGAGAGAGAGAGAGAGAGAGAGAGAGAGAGAGGAAAGAGGAGAAGGAGGCGCGACAUCGGAUGGGAGAGGGUCACCGCCGGCCGACCGGGAGGACGGAGACGGCCCUCAUCCCCGCAGUGCUACCGUCUUCUUGCGCCAGUCAUGGCCUGGACGAACUCACCCGCACCAGCCGAGGAGGUGGCAUGACGUGUGUGUGAGGUAGUGCUGGAUCAUUGGGGGUGAAGCAGGUCUCCUCGACGGGUGCUACAUCUGAGGUUCCACUGCGAGAGGAGUUCGCCGACAGCCAUGAGCACCCAGGUCCAGUUCCUCUGGUCUUGUGUUUGCAAACAGCGAAGCAGGAAUUGCCAUUCUUGCUGACUCAAAUGCUGGGUCUGGUUGCGGUCAGGCGGUUGACGGCGACGGUGGUGGGGAUGUCCCCAAGCUUACCAGCCUGCCUCCUUCAUGCGUGGUUGCGUGCAGCCUCGGAUCUCUGAUGCGGAUCUGAAUUUGGAUAGGUUGCCUGCUCAAUCUGUAGAAUUGAUUGAAGAUGAAUCCUGAAGUUGACAAAAAAGGCUUGGGGUAGGGUGUGCACCACCAGACCGGAAGCCGUGUGCUGGUUGGGUUAGUGCAUUCGAGGAAACCUAGCAAUACGCUAAUAAUCCUACUGAAAUGUGGUGAAGCCAGCUCACAAAGGAGCGAGAGUGCAAGAGCAUGCUGAAGACAUACAUGCGACAAGCAGUCCAAUGCACACUUUCUCGAGGCAGUACACGAGACUUCAAUUUGACCGUUAGUCGGGCAACAAAGUGGAGUGGUGCCAUAGAGCAGCACGCAGGCAAGGGUGGGGGUCGGGUCAAGGCUGUUGUUGGCGGCCUGGAUGCAGGCGAUGGUGGCGGCCGGCGGGGGUCUGGCGGGCGAGGGAAGGAGCAGCAAGGCUGGUGAUGGGCCAAGCGCCACCAGAGGAGGGUGAAGGAGCGACUUCGUGCUUCGCAACAACAGUUCGUGUCCAUGAAAAAUUUGCGGUGGUGAUGAUUGAUCUAAGUAUCAGAUUGGUUAUAUGGAAAUGGGGCUUUACUUCCGGAGAUGUUCCCAAUGAAGGAGCUUCGAGGCGAGCACUGCAAUGAUGUAGUUUUGUAUAUGGCAUAAUCUGUAGGAACCCUCUCUUAGUUUCUUUUGUUCUUCGUUUCACUCCUAUUGAUUAGUGCCAAUUAAUCUAGCUAUUUUCGUUGUACCCAAUGCCAAUUAAUCUAGCUAUUUUCGUUGUACCCACGUGCCAAUAUCUGCACACACGGAAUUCGUGCAGAUUUGUUUAGCUGUGGCACGUAUCACAGCUACAAUAGCAAUCUGGUAAUUAGUGCUCAAAUAAGGUACUUUUCUUCUCCCCUUUACAUAUCAUGGAUAUAUGUGGUGGUUGCUUGACAUUGCUGAAGCGAGGACUCUAAAUGUAUUUUUUUUGUUCUCCCUCAUUAUCUUAGUCAGGCCGUAUGUGUUCUGCUGGUCUAUUUUCAUUUGUCUACUUUUAUAGAAUUUCAAAGAUAUAAUUUCCUCUCAUGUAGUUGCCUCAUUCUUCAUAUAUAUAUAUAUAUAUAUAUACUAACCCUCUCCUAAAUGAUAGAUGAGGCAGGCGAUCUCUUUUAUUUUCCUUUCUGCAAUAGACCAAUAGUAUUUUAGUCAACUUCAGGGUAUGUUAAAUAUGACAGUUAAUGAAGAUGAUCGUUCUUUCUGUUAAGAGUACACAAUCUGACUCAUUUUAAAAUAGCACCUUAUCUUUAUGAAAACACUAAGCUGCUACUUUAGCAAGUGUUUUACUUCAACACAGAUUGCUGCAGGAAAGAAAGUUUUUUUUGCAAUAAAGCAAGCAUUGAACGCACUGAAGUGUCCGAAGAAGAAGAGCUUGAAUUUUUUGCCGACGUAAAUUUAAGGUAACCUUAUUCGUGCAUAUGUUGUUUCUUUCAAACAUUUGUAUCUAAAUAUCAAUACUCAUUUUGAACUUGCUCAGGCCGGCCUUUUAGUUUGAUGUUAUUGGUGUGGUCUGUGUAUAAUUAUUAACAUGGUUGCGAUUUUAAUGAUAGCUCGUCACACAUUACAGAAACCUAUUUUCCAUUUUGUGGCUCUAUGCUCGUCUGUGCCUAGGUACAGCUAUAGCAUGGUGAAGGAACACUACAGGCAUUGAACAAAGAAAGGAAGAAUGAUGGUUAGAACCACUGAGAUACUGAGUCCGGCCAACUAGAUGAGUGUCAGCAGCGUAUUUCUUCAUUGGAAGAGGACAGUAUCAGCCGGUUCAUUGAUCAAAGUGGUGGGAAGCUCCCGAAAACACCCUUUCCAAACAGAAUUUAUUUUUGAGAUCUCUUUAUUUUUCAUCAUUAUGAAGGUUGAUUUUACCUGUUUCACUUGAAUGGUGACCUUCCCACACUCCCAAUUUUUGCUUAGGAUUCUCGUUUAAAUGGUGAGCGCUCAGAUUCUGAAUGUCGGAUCUUUAGUACUGUUUAUUAUUUUAAGAAAAUAUGAGUAAUGUGAUUUUGUUCUCUAGAGACUGGAAUUGAAUAAUAGGUCCUUUUGGUACUGUCAUCUUACCAUUUGUUCCUAACAGAUGCAUGGGUUCGACUAUGCAUUAUCAUAUGUUUUGUUUCAAAGGUAAUAUGCCCUAAAUCAUUUACUGAACUUUCAGUUCUUUUUUGGAACCAGGCGAGUAUAAACAAUUUGUUAUCUGCCAUCCUAAAUUGUUUCCCAUGCCAUCCAUGUAAGUUUUAGUACCUUUCCAUGUAGGUAGUGGGCAAUCAAGUGUGUGCAUUUCAUGACAUAAAUUUACUUUGUUUUGUUUCAAAGGUAAUAUGCCCUAAAUCAUGUACUGAACUUUCAGUUCUUUUUCGGAACUAGGUGAGUAAAAACAAUUUGUUAUCUGCCAUCCUGAAUUAUUUUCCAUGCCAUCCAUGUAAUUUUUAGUACAUUAUACUUAGUUUGGUGUAUGAGAGUAGUUUGUAACUGAAGAAUGGCUGCAACUGGUUCAGUGACUAAGAUUAUUUCAGGAAUAAUGUACAUUUGGUGCUCCCAGCACUUAAUUUUGGACGUUGAAUACUACUCUUGCUUUGACAACUCACUGAUUUUAUUAGGAAACCUUAUCUGUUAAUACUUUCUUGUCAAACUCACAACAAGUUAUAAUAAUCAAACUAUAUAGUGAUGUUGAGGGAUUAACCAGGACAAAUGCUAGCCAACGUCCCAUUGAGUAGGCCUUCCCAGGCUCCUUGAGUAGCUGGCUCCACUGGGUACAUAGCCGAUUACCAUAUGGGUGGUUUCUUUAAUCACCGAUUGGUUAUUGGGAAUCCGAAUCUGCGAUUAGUAUGCAGUAGUAAAGAGGUUUCUGUUUGCAAAAGAAAGCAAGUUUAUGUACUUUGUCUCCACUGCCAGCAUAGAAAAAUUGUUUAUGUUGUAUUGCUGGGAUAAAUGUGUCUUAUACGUUGUUUUGUUCUUAUAGUCACAACCGAGAUAUUUGUGGUGCUUGAUUUCUUCCUAUGCAUUUGUUUUCUUUUACGUGAUUUCCUAUAUAUUUGUUGUAUAAACUGAACCUAAUUAACGUGUGUAAUGAUGAAGCACGUUGGGUGCAGAUGAGGAUGAAAUGAGCCAGGGAGAAAUAUUGCUGGUAGAAAAACAGGCCUCCCAUGCCAUCCUGACCAAAAAUGUAUUCCCCGAUUUGGUUAAACAGACCCGUAUUAGCCCCUGGCUGCCUCAACUGGUGGAUGCUGUCGGCUGCCCAAUGACCAUCAACACAUAUGAGCUCGGUUUAAUCAGAGCUGAAAGAUUAGUGAGACUGACUAAAUUCUGAACAUGUUCCAUGUGAGAGAAAUAGCAUGUUGAUUUCAUCUUGAAAUAAUCAUAGCUGAGGGACGAGUCCGUAACUGAGGGUCAUGUGCAGAGCUGGAGGAAGAAGUUGCGAGGCUUGGAACUCUAACAGCAGUGAGGACAAUGCCUCUUUAGUUGUAAUUGUGAUGCUCCUGAUGUGCAAGUAAACACUCCGGUGACACUCCUUAUGCUAAAAUGUUGGUUGUUAGUACAGAGGUGGUAACAUUAUUUGGUUCUCUUGUAUUGAUUUCAUAAUACAUGAUGUAAUACAAUCCACAUUGCAUUAUAUUUUGAGUUAUAUCUCCUACUUACUCACUACUAACAUUCUUUCUAAUUCGCUUCUUGCGCCAUUGGCGCA